rnacentral:rRNA from 1 species
CGUAGGGGGCUAGCGUUGUCCGGAAUCAUUGGGCGUAAAGAGCGUGUAGGCGGCCCGGUAAGUCCGCUGUGAAAGUCAAAGGCUCAACCUUUGAAUGUCAGCGGAUACUGCCGGGCUAGAGUCCGGAAGAGGCGAGUGGAACUCCUGGUGUAGCGGUGGAAUGCGCAGAUAUCAGGAAGAACACCAACGGCGAAGGCAGCUCGCUGGGACGGUACUGACGCUGAGACGCGAAAGCGUGGGGAGCGAACAGG